rnacentral:rRNA from 1 species
CCUACGGGAGGCAGCAGUGGGGAAUAUUGCACAAUGGGGGAAACCCUGAUGCAGCGACGCCGCGUGAGUGAAGAAGUAUUUCGGUAUGUAAAGCUCUAUCAGCAGGGAAGAAGCAAGUCGGUACCUGUCUAAGAAGCCCCGGCUAACUACGGGCCAGCAGCCGCGGUAAUACGUAGGGGGCAAGAGUUUUCCGGAUUUAUUGGGGGUAAAGGGAGCGUAGACGGGAUGGCAAGUCUGGAGUGAAAGCCCAGGGCUUAACCCUUGGACUGCUUUGGAAACUGUUAGACUAGAGUGCUGGAGAGGUAAGUGGAAUUCCUAGUGUAGCGGUGAAAUGCGUAGAUAUUAGGAGGAACACCAGUGGCGAAGUCGGCUUGCUGGACAGUAACUGACGUUGAGGCUCGAAAGCGUGGGGAGCAAACAGGAUUAGAUACCCCGGUAGUC